CCUACGGGAGGCAGCAGUGAGGAAUAUUGGUCAAUGGUCGGGAGACUGAACCAGCCAAGCCGCGUGAGGGAUGAAGGUACAGAGUAUCGUAAACCUCUUUUGUCAGGGAACAAAGGCGGGGACGCGUCCCCGGAUGAGUGUACCUGAAGAAAAAGCAUCGGCUAACUCCGUGCCAGCAGCCGCGGUAAUACGGAGGAUGCGAGCGUUAUCCGGAUUUAUUGGGUUUAAAGGGUGCGCAGGCGGUUUGUUAAGUCAGCGGUAAAAGCCCGGGGCCCAACCCCGGCCCGCCGUUGAAACUGGCAGUCUCGAGUUGGAGAGAAGUAUGCGGAAUGCGCGGUGUAGCGGUGAAAUGCAUAGAUAUCGCGCAGAACUCCGAUUGCGAAGGCAGCAUGCCGGCUCCACACUGACGCUGAGGCACGAAAGCGUGGGUAUCGAACAGGAUUAGAUACCCUUGUAGUC
rnacentral:rRNA from 1 species